UACGAAGGGGGCUAGCGUUGUUCGGAAUCACUGGGCGUAAAGGGCGCGUAGGCGGCGCGACAAGUCAGGCGUGAAAGCCCCGGGCUCAACCCGGGGAAUUGCGCUUGAUACUGUCGUGCUUGAGGCCGGGAGAGGAUGGCGGAAUUCCCAGUGUAGAGGUGAAAUUCGUAGAUAUUGGGAAGAACACCGAUGGCGAAGGCGGCCAUCUGGACCGGUUCUGACGCUGAGGCGCGAAAGCGUGGGGAGCAAACAGG
rnacentral:rRNA from 1 species